rnacentral:lncRNA from 1 species
CCUUUUCGUUUUCUUUUCCUUCUAUGCUGCUACUUCUUCUUCUUCCCCACUCUUCCUCUCCUCCAUCAUAAAAAGAAAAAUAACUGAUCCCGGAAGUUCCCUUAACCAUCUCUGCUUACCCAUGGUGUCAUGAACAAGUCAAAAAUAUACUAAAAAAGGUAGUGGGUAUCAAAAUACUAAAGAGGCGGCGUGUAUUAAUUUUCGAGCAGGGCGAAAAAUGAUCCACUGAACUUCUUCCCUGCUAUCUAACGCCUUUGACCAUGGAAAUGGACCACCGAACAUCUUCCCCUACUUUUCGAUCUGGAAAAAAACUUAAUUUUAU